AUUGAACGCUGGCGGCAGGCCUAACACAUGCAAGUCGAACGAGUGGCGGACGGGUGAGUAAUGUCUGGGAAACUGCCUGAUGGAGGGGGAUAACUACUGGAAACGGUAGCUAAUACCGCAUACCAUCAGAUGUGCCCAGAUGGGAUUAGCUUGUUGGUGGGGUAACGGCUCACCAAGGCGACGAUCCCUAGCGGGUCUGAGAGGAUGACCAGCCACACUGGAACUACGACACGGUCCAGACUCCUAGGGAGGGACGCAGGGGGGAAUAUUGACCAAUGUGCGCAAGCCGGCUGCAGCCAUGCCGCGUAUAUGAAGAAGUCCUUCGGGUUGUAAAGUACUUUCAGCGGGGAGGCGUUACCCGCAGAAGAAGCACCGGCUAACUCCGUGCCAGCAGCCGCGGUAAUC
rnacentral:rRNA from 1 species